rnacentral:rRNA from 1 species
UACGAAGGGGGGCUAGCGUUGCUCGGAAUUACUGGGCGUAAGCGCACGUAGGCGGAUCUUUAAGUCAGGGGUGAAAUCCUGGAGCUCAACUCCAGAACUGCCUUUGAUACUGAGGACCUUGAGUUCGGGAGAGGUGAGUGGAACUGCGAGUGUAGAGGUGAAAUUCGUAGAUAUUCGCAAGAACACCAGUGGCGAAGGCGGCUCACUGGCCCGAUACCUGACGCUGAGGUGCGAAAGCGUGGGGAGCAAACAGG